rnacentral:sRNA from 1 species
CCGAGACGUCUGGACCUUCCGCGCCGUCGGCCGGAUAAACUGGCGGCGGAACGACACGGGGCGCAGCUCCCCGGACGUUCCGCCAAGGAUCUAGCCAGCAGCCGCUGCAACCCCAGGGAG